GGGUGGAAUUUUGGUAGAAAAGGUCCAACUCAACAUGAAGUUAUAUGUAAUUUUUGUGAAAAAAGUAGCAAGGGUGGAAUAACCCGGCACAAACAACAUUUACUUGGUGUCGGAACAAAUUCUAAAGCUUCUAAAAGAUGUCCGGAAUCAGUUAAGGCGGAAAUAAGAGCUUAUAUGGAACAAAAGAAUGUGGCAAAAACCCAAAUGAAUUCGAUACAUGUGUGGCUGAUCAUAUGGAUGAUAGUGAUGAUGAUAUGGAUGAAGUUAAUGAAAUGAUGCCUCCUCCCUCCAAAACUCAAAAAAGAAAGACCGGGACGAAAGGUCCUAUGAAUCUUUAUUAUCCACAGAAGCCAAAGGAAGGGGCAGGUGAUAGUUUGAGUAAUGAAAGAUCCCGGAAGCUUUUAAGGGAUCGUGUUGUAGGUGCUUUUGCAAGAUGGGUCUACGAUGCAGGGCUCCCUUUUAAUUGUGUCAAUGCCAAAAGUUUUAAAAAAGUCAUUGACUACAUAGGAGAAUAUGGCCCUAAUAUGAAGCCUCCAACCUAUCACGAAGUUAGAGUUACUUGUCUAAAAAAAGAGGUGGAGAAGGUUGACGAGAUUGUGGAGGAACACAAAGUGCAAUGGAGCAAGUUUGGAUGUUCCAUUAUGAUGGAUAAAUGGACAGCCCGGAAUGGAAAAAUGGUCAUCAAUGUUUUGGUAAACUCUCCAAAAGGUAGUUUGUUUCUUGGAUCAUAUGAUGCCAGCCACUCUUCUACAGAUUCCACUAAAAUGUACAACUUGUUUGAGAGGACUAUUGAGUCAAUUGGAAAGGAUAAUGUUGUACAAGUGGUUACCGAUAAUGCUAGUGAGAAUGUAAAAGCAGGUCAAACGAUGCAUGGCACAUUCCCACAUAUUUAUUGGACUCCAUGUGCUGCCCAUUGUAUCAAUUUGAUAUUUGGUGACAUUUUCAAGAUCAACCCGUAUGCUUCAGUUUUUAGCAAGGCUACUAAGAUGUAUGCUUACAUCAGUCAAAGGCCAUUGCUAUUAAACUUGAUGAGGAAGUUUACAAAUGAAAGAAAUUUGGUGAGACCGGGCAAGACUAGAUUUGCAACAGCUUUCUUGACUUUGCAUAGUUUUUACAUGCAAAAGAAAAACUUAAGAAGCCUAGUCACUUCAAAUGAAUGGAAACAAAGCAAACAUGCAAAGGAAAUUGCAGGGAAAGAGGUUGCGAGGAACAUUAUUUCUCCAUCAUUUUGGAAUGAUGUUUGUAAGGCACUUAAAGUUGGUGGUCCUUUGAUUAUCGUACUUCGUUUGGUGGAUGGGGAGAAAAAACUACCAAUGGGCUAUCUUUAUGAAGCUAUGGAUCUUUGCAAAGAAUCUAUUGCAAAGGCAUUUGGGGGUGAUGAGAGGAGGUAUGAAAAAGUUUUUAAGAUCAUUGAUAAAAGAUGGUCGGAUCAACUUCAUCGACCUUUGCAUGCAGCAGGACAUAUUCUGAACCCGGGGUUGUAUUAUAAGAAUGCAGCUGCUGAAACUUUAGAUGGAGAAGUGUGGGAUGACUACAUUUCAUGUCUUGAGAAAUUGGUCCCUGAUCCCAAUUUGAGAGAUAAAAUGUCGGUUGAGCUUGGUAAGUAUAGACAAGCAGAUGGGACAUUUGGUAAGGAAUCUGCCAUUAGAGCUAGAGACCGUUUGUCACUAGUCGAAUGGUGGAUGCAAUAUGGUAACCAUGUUCCAGCCUUGCAAAAGUUGCUAUCAAAGUACUAAGCUUAACUUGUAGUGCAUCCGGAUGUGAAAGAAAUUGGAGUGUCUAUGAACAUGUGAGAGAGAAGAAGAUUUAUUCUAUUUUAUAUUACAUAAUUACAUUAUCCUUAUUUUAUUAGCAUUCUUUAAUUACUCUCUACAACUUAUACACAGAUUCACUCCAAGAAGAGGAAUAGACUUGAGCUAAAACAUCUCAAUGAUCUAGUGUACAUUAAGUACAAUAGAACAUUGAAGCGUCGUUAUAAAGCUCGCGACACCAUUGAUCCAAUUAGGUUGUAGAAUAUUGAUGAGGUAAAUGAAUGAGUAACUGGAGCACCCGAAGACCUUGCAGAGGAAGAGUUAGAAGAUGAUGGUCUCACUUGGGGUAUUGUUGCUUCGGCAAGUGGAUCUGAGGAGAGUAUUUAUGGUCUUAGGGCGAGUUUUUCAAGUUCAAUGAACAAGGAUAAAGGGGUGGCUUCUUCAAGUCGAACCCUCUUUGAUGAAGACUCUGAGGAAGAAGAAGAUGACAACCAAUAUAAUGCUAACACUCUUGUGGUUGAAGAAUUUUUAGAUCUUGAAGAAGAAUAGAUGUUGCUUCAUGAUAAUUUGGUUAAUGCUAACACUUAGGGACCUUAUGACUUAUUAACUAUCUAGUUGGAGACUUUUAGACUUUAGUAUCAACUAUCAACUAUCUACUUUUAGUUUUUCAAUUGAAAUAUAUGCUAGUAUUUUGUUGAGUAUUUGAAUUUUUGGGUAUUUAUAUAUGCAUAUUUAAUAUUUUAAUUUUUUGUGUUAAUUCUCGCCUCACUCCUAAAAGGCGCUCGCCACGCCACGCCUCGCCAUGAGGCGUGAGGCGAGCCCUUGUCGCCACGCCUCGCCUUUCGCCAUCCUAAACACUGGCUUCAGGGCUUAAGCGCGCUUAAAGCACGCCUUUGAUAACACUGUUGCACAUUAGGGUUCAUGCUAAAAACGUGGAUCCUUUAUUUGCAAGUCAUGAGAACCCUUUAUAUUAGCCUAGGGUUUCUUCUUUUAUGAUUACAAAUCCCUAUUCUACUCUGGAAAGGAAAUAGCUAAAAACAAAGAAAGUAAAAUCCCUAUUCCACAAGGAAAAGAAUAAAGAACACUAGAAUCCUACUAGAACUAGGAUAAAGAUCCUACUAAUGAUAGGAAAUUAAAUCCUACUAUAAUAUAAAUGAAGAAACAAGAAACCUAUUUAGAAAAGGACUCAAGAAACAAGAAUUCCCAUUCUUGUAAGAAAAUAAUCUUCAAACUUGAGCUUCUUGGACUUUCGUUCUCUUGAAUUUUCAAUCUUGUGUUUCUUGUAUUUCUUGAUCUUCUUCAUCUUUCAUCAUAUGAGGCACAGCCCACGUGACACCACAAAGAUUCAGGAAGAGCUCCCAGCACUGUUUAGCAACUUUCCAGUGAAUAAAAAGAUGGUUUACUAACUCCAGACCUUCUUCACAUAGAUAACACCUGUUGCUUAAGAAAAAACCUCUUCGCUGUAGAUUAUCUUGAGUUAAACGAGCUUCUCUAUAACAACCCAUCCAAAACAAGCCACUUUGAUAGCUGCUUUGGUUUUUCAUAGCAUUAUCCAUGGCCAAUUCAGUAAAUAAUGAUCAGAUUGUUUCUGGAUUAGAGUAUUACAGCUCUUGACAGAAUAUUUGGUCUCAUUAGCAACUUCCCAAACCAUUGGCAUCCUCUUUAUUUUACUCAACUACCACUAUCUCACAAAGCAUCCAACGUUAGCAGGGUCCGUCAAAGGGCCGCACCCCAAGAGGGUCUGAUGUCGACUAAAAAUAAAGGAUAGAAGCUGAAGCUGCCUACACUGACUGGUGGUGACUUGCCUCAACUGGAUAGAACUGGCAACUGGCUGAAAUCACUCUUCAACAGCUGAGUUUCUGCCUACAGGACCAGCACACAUGCAGUAACUGUGAAUUUAAAAGACCAAGAUAGAUCGUCGACUUGCUCUCCCAGCCUACCCCUAGGGCAAGCCUUUAGAAAUUUCAGACCAUAUAUUAAAGCAGAUUCUGCCCCCUGGCCUUGAAGUACCAUCAUCAUUUGAGACAAUAGUCACAUUGCUCAUUUGAAUAUAACUGAUGAGCUUCUUCCUUACAAGGAUGUGAUUGCCAAAGUUAUUUAUGAU